rnacentral:tRNA from 1 species
GAUAUAGCUCAGUGGUAGAGUGCUUGCCUAGCACACAUGAGGCCCUGGGUUUGAUCCCUAGUAUC